UUGGGGGUAUAGCUCAGUGGGAGAGCAUGUGCAUAGCAGGCACAAGGCCCUGGGUUCUAUCCCUAGCACCAAAA
rnacentral:tRNA from 1 species